UCUUCCCUCUGGCGGCGUGCUUAACACAUGCAAGUCGAACGGAAAGGCUCCUGCUUGCAGGGGUACUCGAGUGGCGAACGGGUGAGUAACACGUGGGUGAUCUGCCCUGCACUUCGGGAUAAGCCUGGGAAACUGGGUCUAAUACCGGAUAGGACGAUGGUUUGGAUGCCAUUGUGGAAAGUUUUUCGGUGUGGGAUGAGCUCGCGGCCUAUCAGCUUGUUGGUGGGGUAAUGGCCUACCAAGGCGUCGACGGGUAGCCGGCCUGAGAGGGUGUACGGCCACAUUGGGACUGAGAUACGGCCCAGACUCCUACGGGAGGCAGCAGUGGGGAAUAUUGCACAAUGGGCGCAAGCCUGAUGCAGCGACGCCGCGUGGGGGAUGACGGCCUUCGGGUUGUAAACUCCUUUCGCUAGGGACGAAGCGCAAGUGACGGUACCUGGAGAAGAAGCACCGGCUAACUACGUG
rnacentral:rRNA from 1 species